rnacentral:rRNA from 1 species
GACGGAGGAUGCAAGUGUUAUCCGGAAUCACUGGGCGUAAAGCGUCUGUAGGUGGUCAAAUAAGUCAGAUGUUAAAUCUUGAGGCUCAACCUCAAAAUCGCAGUCGAAACUAUUAGACUAGAGUAUAGUAGGGGUAAAGGGAAUUUCCAGUGGAGCGGUGAAAUGCGUAGAGAUUGGAAAGAACACCGAUGGCGAAGGCACUUUACUGGGCUAUUACUAACACUCAGAGACGAAAGCUAGGGUAGCAAAUGGG